rnacentral:rRNA from 1 species
GACGUAGGUGGCGAGCGUUGUUCGGAAUCACUGGGCAUAAAGCGCACGUAGGCGGCCAAGUCAGUCAGGUGUGAAAUACCUCGGCUCAACCGAGGAACUUCGCCUGAUACUGCUUGGCUUGAGGUCCGGAGGGGAGAGUGGAAUUCCCGGUGGAGCGGUGAAAUGCGUAGAGAUCGGGAAGAACGCCGGCGGCGAAAGCGACUCUCUGGUCGGAAUCUGACGCUGAGGUGCGAAAGCUAGGGGAGCAAACGGG